UACAGGACGAACGCUGGCGGCGUGCUUAAUACAUGCAAGUCAACUUGACUUUAGAUAGCAAUAUCGAAAGUAGGGUGGCGCACGGGUGCGUAACGCGUAGGUAAUCUGCCCUGAGGUCUGACAUAACCCGUCGAAAGGCGGGCUAACAUCAGAUGAUAUAUAAUCACGACAUCGUGGAAAUAUCAAAUCUUCGGAGCCUUGGGAUGAGCCUGCGUCUGAUUAGGUAGUUGGCGGAGUAAUAGCCCACCAAGCCUACGAUCAGUAGCUGGUCUGAGAGGAUGAUCAGCCACACUGGAACUGAGACACGGUCCAGACUCCUACGGGAGGCAGCAGUAAGGAAUAUUGCUCAAUGGGGGAAACCCUGAAGCAGCAACGCCGCGUGAAGGAUGAAAUACUUUGUAUGUAAACUUCUGUAAGAUGGGAAAAAUAUUCUCCUCGGGAGAAUUGAUUGUACCAUCAGAGUAAGCCCCGGCUAACUACGUG
rnacentral:rRNA from 1 species